ensembl:lncRNA
CUAUGGGGCAGCUAUGCAUCAUGGCCCUAUGGGGCAGCUAUGGGGCAGCUAUGGGGCGGGGUGGGGGUCACGUCCCUAUGGGGCAGCUAUGGGGCAGGUGGGGGUCACGGCCCUAUGGGGCAGCUAUGGAGAGGGUGGCAGUCACAGCCCUAUGGGGACAUCUAUGGGGCAGCUAUGGGGCAGCUAUGGGGCAGAUGGGGGUCACUGCCCUACGGGGCAGCUAUGGGGCAGCUAUGGGGCAGGUAGGGGUCACCGUCCUAUGGGGCAGCUAUGGGGCAGCUAUGCAUCAUGGCCCUAUGGGGCAGCUAUGGGGCAGCUAUGGGGCUGGUGGGGGUCACGGCCCUAUGGGGACAGCUAUGGGGCAGCUAUGGGGCAGGUGGGGGUCACAGCCCUAUGGGGACAGCUAUGGGGCAGCUAUGGGGCAGGGCUAUGGGUCGGAGCUAUGGGGCAGCUAUGGGGCAGCUAUGGGUCGGAGCUAUGGGACAGCUAUGGGGCAGCUACAGGCCGGCUAUGGGGCAGCUAUGGGUCAGAGCUACGGGUCGGAGCUAUGGGUCGGAGCUAUGGGGCGGCUAUGGGUCGGAGCUAUGGGGCGGCUAUGGGUCGGAGCUAUGGGGCAGGGCUACGGGUCGGAGCUAUGGGUCGGAGCUACGGGGCGGCUAUGGGGCGGCUAUGGGGCAGGGCUACGGGUCGGAGCUAUGGGACAGCUACGGGUCGGAGCUAUGGGUCGGGGCUAUGGGGCGGCGCCGUGGGGCGGCGUUAGGCGGGGGCGACGUGGCUGGAGGAGACGGAGGAGACCUGCGUGGCCUGCGAGGAGCCCGACACGUCCUCGUCGUCCCCGAACGGACUGCGGCCGCAGAACAGCAGCUUCAGCAUGCACGAGCGGAACUGCAACGGCACCGCGUCAGCGCCGCCGGCAGCGGCGGGGGGCAGUGGGGCACUGAGCAUCUAUGGGGCGCGGGGGCAGUGGGGGG